ACGCACGCUGGCGGCAUGCCUCAUCCCUGCCAGUCGCACGAGAUCUUCGGAUCUAGUGGCGCACGGGUGCGUAACGCGUGGGAAUCUGCCCUUGGGUUCGGAAUAACUUCUGGAAACGGAAGCUAAUACCGGAUGAUGACGUAAGUCCAAAGAUUUAUCGCCCAAGGAUGAGCCCGCGUAGGAUUAGGUAGUUGGUGAGGUAAAGGCUCACCAAGCCGACGAUCCUUAGCUGGUCUGAGAGGAUGAUCAGCCACACUGGGACUGAGACACGGCCCAGACUCCUACGGGAGGCAGCAGUAGGGAAUAUUGGACAAUGGGCGAAAGCCUGAUCCAGCAAUGCCGCGUGAGUGAUGAAGGCCUUAGGGUUGUAAAGCUCUUUUACCCGGGAUGAUAAUGACAGUACCGGGAGAAUAAGCUCCGGCUAACUCCGUG
rnacentral:rRNA from 1 species